rnacentral:rRNA from 1 species
AGCCACUAGAAUGGUGGGUAAUACUCGUAUAAUCCCUGCGGGGUGAAAUUGAUCAAUCGCUAUUAGAAUUCCCUAGCCUAUGUUAGAUUUAAGCUAGUUGGUAGGGUAAAGGCCUACCAAGGCGGUGAUCUAUAGCUGGUCUGAGAGGAUGAAAUCAGCCACACUGGAACUGAGAUACGGUCCAGACUCCUACGGGAGGCAGCAGUGGGGAAUAUUGGACAAUGGGCGCAAGCCUAAGGAUCCAGCUAUGCCGCGUGAGUGAUUUUGGAAGGCCUUAGGGUUGUAAAACUCUUUCAGUUAAGGGAAGAUAAUGACGGUACCCACAGAAGAAGUCCCGGCAAACUCCGUGCCAGCAGCCGCGGUAAUACGGAAGGGGCAAGCGUUGUUCGGAAUUAUUGGGCGUAAAGGGCAUGUAGGCGGUUCGGUAAGUUAAAGGUGAAACCUUGCCAGGGCUUAACCCUGGAGCUGCUUUUAAUACUGCCAGACUCGAGUCCGGGAGAGGAUAGCGGAAUUCCUAGUGUAGAGGUGAAAUUCGUAGAUAUUAGGAGGAACACCAGUGGCGAAGGCGGCUAUCUGGGCCUCCGGUACUGACGCUGAGGGCCUUUGCGAAAGCGUGGGGAGCAAACAGGA